ACACUCUUUCUCUGUUGUGGAGACACAGUCUGUAGUAUGUCAGCCGGACGGACUCUCACUGCAGUGUUUUGUGUUUUCAUUGACAGAAAGCAUGAACCUGGUCUCACCUGACCUGCCCAACGGUGAGUGAUCACUGCUUCACACAGUAGGAGAGGAGCUGAUGAAAGAUGGUUUCUUAUGAACUUUGCACAUGGAAGGAUUUGAUUUGUGCAUCAGACCGGCUGAGAUUCCUGAUAAAUGAGAGAAUGAUUGUUAGUUUAAGAAGGAACAGUGUGUGAUGGGUUAAGACACGUUUGACAAGUUGCCCUUAGGGUUAAACUGAAGGUUUCAACCCAUUGCCUAAUAGAGCUUUUGAUGCUUGACUCACAGUAGAACAUCAGAGCUCAUUCAACUGUUUUCAAGAUAAACAUCUUAUUCUAUGGUUCUUUAGGAGCCCAUCUGUGCUUUAAGGGACCCAGAAAAAUCUAUAAUGAAACACCAAGAUCUUGUUUAAUAUCCAAAUAUAACAACUCAUAUGACAAGCAAGCUGCUGGAUUUUCUAAGGCAAUUCAAGUUAGACUUUACAAGUCUGCCAUCUAGUGGAGUCUAAACCCACAUACACAUUUAAAAUACGACCUUUUUCUAUAUCUACCCAGAGGAAUGAUGAUUGCUCUGAGAGUUCAGUUUGCUCUCUGUUUAAUCUCUGUACUGUCUAAAUGAAAUAAAUAGACAUUAAAGAGAUCUCAUUUGUGAUUUAUCUUUCUUAUGACUACAGAUGAGCUUCUGUAUUACAACGGAGCAGCUGCAGGUAUAAGAAAGAACUAUGUACAUUUAAAAAAGUAUUGAUUCAUCUAAACAAUCAAAAAUAAUUAUGAGCCUUAUUUUAAUGUCAAACUGUUUAAUUUAGAUGCAGGCAGCAGCAGUGCUGAGGCAGGAAAUAGUGCACCUCAAGUAAAUGACGUGCCCAAAACUGAAGAUGAAGCUCCAGACUCAGAGGAGGCGACAGCGGCUGUGAAACCCGCCCCGGUCCCAGUCCAGCGUGCAACCAAAUCCCACAAUGCAUCAGCACGCAAGCGGAGCAAGCCCAUCACUGCCUCAAAAAAGAGAUCAAGAAACCUCCGUCCCUGAGACAUGAACUGUGGAGAGAGAAACAGGGCAAAGCUGCAAUGACAAGGCAGUAACAGAAUGAGAAAAACAAAUGAUAUAGAUGAUGUUUUCAGAGGCAUUUUUUGUUUUUGUUUGUUUUGAGAAUCUUGAACUAGACUUUAUCCUCUGUGAUGUACUGAUUGGUUUGUGUUUGACUGUGUGUUUGUGUAGGUGUGAAUGCUUAUGACCUCUGUUAAAGGUCUGGUAAUGUGAGCUACACAAUGUGCUUGCCAAAUAUUCUUCCAAACUUUAUCCAGAGGCAAAGCUGACAUGGACACUUUAUAGGGUUGAUUUCAUUUUAGAUCAGACUAGAAAAUAAAUUUAUUGAAAAUUUCUAGACA
ensembl:lncRNA